ACUUCAGGACGGGGACAACAGUUGGAAACGACUGCUAAUACCCGAUGUGCCGCGAGGUGAAACCUAAUUGGCCUGAAGAAGAGCUUGCGUCUGAUUAGCUAGUUGGUGGGGUAAGAGCCUACCAAGGCGACGAUCAGUAGCUGGUCUGAGAGGAUGAGCAGCCACACUGGGACUGAGACACGGCCCAGACUCCUACGGGAGGCAGCAGUGGGGAAUUUUCCGCAAUGGGCGAAAGCCUGACGGAGCAACGCCGCGUGAGGGAGGAAGGUCUUUGGAUUGUAAACCUCUUUUCUCAAGGAAGAAGUUCUGACGGUACUUGAGGAAUCAGCCUCGGCUAACUCCGUGCCAGCAGCCGCGGUAAUACGGGGGAGGCAAGCGUUAUCCGGAAUUAUUGGGCGUAAAGCGUCCGCAGGUGGUCAGCCAAGUCUGCCGUCAAAUCAGGUUGCUUAACGACCUA
rnacentral:rRNA from 1 species